GACGAACGCUGGCGGCGUGCUUAACACAUGCAAGUCGAACGGAAAGGCCCUGCUUUUGUGGGGUGCUCGAGUGGCGAACGGGUGAGUAACACUUGAGUAACCUGCAAUUGCCUUUGGGAUAACUUCAGGAAACUGGGGCUAAUACCGGAUAGGAGCUCCUGCUGCUUGGUGGGGGUUGGAAAGUUUCGGCGGUUGGGGAUGGACUCGCGGCUUAUCAGCUUGUUGGUGGGGUAGUGGCUUACCAAGGCUUUGAGGGGUAGCCGGCCUGAGAGGGUGACCGGCUACACUGGGACUGAGAUAAGGCACAGACUCCUACGGGAGGCAGCAGUGGAGAAUAGUGCACAAUGGGCGGAAGCCUGAUGCAGCAACGCCGCGUGGGGGAUGACGGCCUGCGGGUUGUAAACCGCUUUCGCCUGUGACGAAGCGUGAGUGACGGUAAUGGGUAAAGAAGCACCGGCUAACUACGUG
rnacentral:rRNA from 1 species